rnacentral:tRNA from 1 species
GGGUCGGUGCCCGAGUGGUUAAAGGGGGCGGAUUGUAAAUCCGCUGCAGUUUGCUACGUUGGUUCGAAUCCAACUCGGCCCA